rnacentral:rRNA from 1 species
GGCGGGGGGGGGUGUUAUCUUUCUCUCCCACCCCGCGUGGUGGGGGGAAAGGGGUAUGUGUGUGGGGGGGAGGGAGAAAAACACCCCCCCCCCGCGUUGGGGGGGGAAGAGGGGGGGGGGGGUGCUUUUUUUUUGUUUUUCUGUGUUAUAACAUAAAACGCGUGUUUGGGGGGGGCGGAAAAAAGAGCGGUGGGGGGGGGGGACAAAACCCAGGGGAUUUUAAGAUAAAACCCCUUGGGUGUGUCCCCCCCCCCGUUAAAACGAUUGAAGUGUGCUAUGGUUGUUGGGGGGGUUUUUCAAAAAACCCCUUCCAGGUGCCCGCCAGGACUAAACGCCAAAUUAAAGCACCUCCGCCCUGGGGGAGGUACGCUUCGGCCAAGAGGUGAAACUUCAAAGGAAAUUGACGGGGGCCCCCGGCACAAGCCGGUGGAGCAUGUGGUUUAAUUCGAGCAACGCGCAGACCCUCACCCACGUCUUGACAUCCCGCUGACCGCUCUUGAGACAGAGCUUCCCUUCGGGGCAGCGGUGACAGGUGGUGCAUGGUGUCGUCAGCUCGUGUCGUGAGAUGUUGGGUUAAGUCCCGCAACGAGCGCAACCUUAUCUUUAGUUGCCAGCAUUCAGUUGGCACUCUAGAGAGACUGCCGUCGACAAGACGGAGGAAGGCGGGGAUGACGUCAAAUCAUCAUGCCCCUUAUGACCUGGGCUACACACGUGCUACAAUGGUUGGUACAACGGGAUGCUACCUCGCGAGAGGACGCCAAUCUCUUAAAACCAAUCUCAGUUCGGAUUGUAGGCUGCAACUCGCCUACAUGAAGUCGGAAUCGCUAGUAAUCGCGGAUCAGCAUGCCGCGGUGAAUACGUUCCCGGGCCUUGUACACACCGCCCGUCACACCACGGGAGUUUGCAACACCCGAAGUCGGUGAGGUAACCGCAAGGAGCCAGCCGCCGAAGGUGGGGUAGAUGACUGGGGUGAAGUCGACAUAAGUUCACCCCC